rnacentral:rRNA from 1 species
AUUGAACGCUGGCGGCAGGCCUAACACAUGCAAGUCGAGCGAGCGGCGGACGGGUGAGUAAUGUCUGGGAAACUGCCUGAUGGAGGGGGAUAACUACUGGAAACGGUAGCUAAUACCGCAUACCAUCAGAUGUGCCCAGAUGGGAUUAGCUGGUAGGUGGGGUAACGGCUCACCUAGGCGACGAUCCCUAGCUGGUCUGAGAGGAUGACCAGCAACAUGGGAACGUGGACACGGUCAAGACUCGUAGGGGAGGCGGCAGGGGGGAAUAUUGCACAAGGGGCGAAAGCCGGAUGCAGCCAUGCGGCGUGUGUGAAGAAGGCCUGCGGGUUGUAAAGCACUUUCAGCGGGGAGGCGUUACCCGAAGAAGAAGCACCGGCUAACUCCGUGCCAGCAGCCGCGGUAAUUC